UACUGAGUGGCAGACGGGUGGGUAACAUGUGGGAAUCUGCCUUGUGGUUCAGGACAACAUUGGGAAACCGAUGCUAAUACUGGAUAAGCCCUUACGGGGAAAGUUUUAAUGCCAUAAGAUGAGCCCGCAUUUGAUUAGUUAGUUGGUGAGGUAAUGGCUCACCAAGACAAUGAUCAAUAGCUGAUCUGAGAGGAUGAUCAGCCACACUGGGACUGAGACACGGCCCAGACUCCUACGGGAGGCAGCAGUGGGGAAUCUUGCACAAUGGAGGAAACUCUGAUGCAGCGAUGCCGCGUGAGUGAAGAAGGCCUUUGGGUUGUAAAGCUCUUUUGUAGGGGAAGAUAAUGACUGUACCCUAAGAAUAAGGUCCGGCUAACUUCGUGCCAGCAGCCGCGGUAAUACGAAGGGACCUAGCGUAGUUCGGAAUUACUGGGCGUAAAGCGCGCGUAGGCCGUUGAGUUAGUUAAUUGUGAAAUCCCAAAGCUUAACUUUGGAACUGCAAUUAAAACUGCUCGACU
rnacentral:rRNA from 1 species